GAUGAACGCUAGCUACAGGCUUAACACAUGCAAGUCGAGGGGAAACGACAUCGAAAGCUUGCUUUUGAUGGGCGUCGACCGGCGCACGGGUGAGUAACGCGUAUCCAACCUGCCCACCACUUGGGGAUAACCUUGCGAAAGUAAGACUAAUACCCAAUGAUAUCUCUAGAAGACAUCUGAAAGAGAUUAAAGAUUUAUCGGUGAUGGAUGGGGAUGCGUCUGAUUAGCUUGUUGGCGGGGUAACGGCCACCAAGGCUACGAUCAGUAGGGGUUCUGAGAGGAAGGUCCCCCACAUUGGAACUGAGACACGGUCCAAACUCCUACGGGAGGCAGCAGUGAGGAAUAUUGGUCAAUGGGCGAGAGCCUGAACCAGCCAAGUAGCGUGCAGGAUGACGGCCCUAUGGGUUGUAAACUGCUUUUAUAAGGGUAUAAAGUGAGCCUCGUGAGGCUUUUUGCAUGUACCUUAUGAAUAAGGACCGGCUAAUUCCGUGCCAGCCGCCGCGGUAA
rnacentral:rRNA from 1 species